GAUGAACGCUGGCGGCGUGCUUAACACAUGCAAGUCGAACGGAAAGGCCCAAGCUUGCUUGGGUACUCGAGUGGCGAACGGGUGAGUAACACGUGGGUGAUCUGCCCUGCACUUCGGGAUAAGCCUGGGAAACUGGGUCUAAUACCGGAUAGGACCACUUCUUGGAUGUUGUGGUGGACAGUUUUUUCGGUGUGGGAUGAGCUCGCGGCCUAUCAGCUUGUUGGUGGGGUAAUGGCCUACCAAGGCGUCGACGGGUAGCCGGCCUGAGAGGGUGUACGGCCACAUUGGGACUGAGAUACGGCCCAGACUCCUACGGGAGGCAGCAGUGGGGAAUAUUGCACAAUGGGCGCAAGCCUGAUGCAGCGACGCCGCGGGGGGGAUGACGGCCUUCGGGUUGUAAACUCCUUUCGCUAGGGACGAAGCGUUUUGUGACGGUACCUGGAGAAGAAGCACCGGCUAACUACGUG
rnacentral:rRNA from 1 species